ACUGAGAGGUUGAACGGCCACAUUGGGACUGAGACACGGCCCAGACUCCUACGGGAGGCAGCAGUGGGGAAUAUUGCACAAUGGGGGAAACCCUGAUGCAGCGACGCCGCGUGGAGGAAGAAGGUCUUCGGAUUGUAAACUCCUGUUGUUGAGGAAGAUAAUGACGGUACUCAACAAGGAAGUGACGGCUAAAUACGUGCCAGCAGCCGCGGUAAU
rnacentral:rRNA from 1 species